UGCGGGGCUCACCAUCCCCGGAGGCGGCGAGGAGGCCAGAGCCCCUACCUUUCCCUCGGGGCAGACACCAGCCAUGCGCCCUCGCUGGGCGUCAGAGACAGGAAAAUCACUGAGGAGGCUGAGCUGGAGGAAGGCGGCGGGUGGCUUCAGGACAAGCUAAAACCAUAAAGGAGGAAAAGGACACUUUGGACAUGGAAGGCCUUUGAACCUCCUCAGAAUUCAUAAUAUUUAGGUUUGACAGUUCUCUGGAAGACUUACAAUCUGGCACACAGAGGAUGGCUCUUUCAAGUACUUUCUGUCAAAUUGAGUUAGCUUUUUAAACUUAAAGGAUUCCAGAAGGAACACGUAAAUGUUCUGCAUGACUGUGUUUCAAACAUCUUCCCAUUCUAUCAGUUGGUUUCAUGACAUAAAAAGUGAGAGUACUUAAUAGUAAAGGUGUAGGGGGAACCAGGAAACUCUAUAUCUGAGCAAUGAGAACAGUUAUACUCUAUUAACAAACAGCUAUCUAUGUCCAAAUAACUGUCUUUUUUUCCCCCUAUAAGCUACUUGCUCUUUUUUUCUGGACUCCCCAUUUUUGUUAUAGGUUAUAGGUUCAGUUUCCUAGAAUCAUCUUCAAAGAUAUUUCUGCAUUGUAGACAUGUAUGUUACUGUAGCAAUUCUGUUGUCUAGAAAUGUCAUUCCUUAUUCUUUUUCUUUUUGCCAGUCCUGGGGCUUGAA